rnacentral:lncRNA from 1 species
AUAAACAUCAUACGACUACUUACAUGUUAAAGGUAUAUUAGUACAUAUAUAGUAAAUGAAACAAUUGUCCAAAAGAGGAAAAAACAAAUGCAAAUAAUAUCAUCUUGUAAAAGCUGAUAGUAAGAGGAGAUCGAUCCCAAUCUUCUAUAGAACGUGAUUUUCCGCCAAUACCCAUGAAGGAGGGUGAGAACACUUCAAUGAUUUUACCAAUGUAUAUAAUUUUAAGCUCCCGUGCCAAUAAUAAUACAAUAGAUCAUAAAGACUAAAAUUAAUAAAUAUUUAAGAGAGGAAAGACUUAUGUCAGCCAGAGUGUUAAAAUCCAUAUAAAACAAGACUAUUAUAAUUCGUGAAUUCUCCCAUGAGUUAAUAUAUUUAACUAAAAUCAAUGUGAAUAAAUAUGUUGUUGCAUACAAUGAUCAUUUGCCUCAUUGAAAAAGAG